rnacentral:rRNA from 1 species
GACGAACGCUGGCGGCGUGCUUAACACAUGCAAGUCGAACGGAAAGGCCCUGCUUUUGUGGGGUGCUCGAGUGGCGAACGGGUGAGUAACACGUGAGUAACCUACCCUUGACUUUGGGAUAACUUCAGGAAACUGGGGCUAAUACCGGAUAGGAGCUCCUGCUGCAUGGUGGGGGUUGGAAAGUUUCGGCGGUUGGGGAUGGACUCGCGGCUUAUCAGCUUGUUGGUGGGGUAGUGGCUUACCAAGGCAUUGACGGGUAGCCGGCCUGAGAGGGUGACCGGCCACAUUGGGACUGAGAUACGGCCCAGACUCCUACGGGAGGCAGCAGUGGGGAAUAUUGCACAAUGGGCGGAAGCCUGAUGCAGCAACGCCGCGUGCGGGAUGACGGCCUUCGGGUUGUAAACCGCUUUCGCCUGUGACGAAGCGUGAGUGACGGUAAUGGGUAAAGAAGCACCGGCUAACUACGUG